UGCCAGCAGCCGCGGUAAUACGAAGGUCUCAAGCGUUGUUCGGAAUCACUGGGCGUAAAGGGAGCGUAGGCGGCAAGGUAAGUCAGAUGUGAAAUUCCGGGGCUCAACCCCGGAACGGCAUCCGAUACUGCCUUGCUAGAGUAAUGGAGGGGCAUCUGGAAUUCACGGUGUAGCAGUGAAAUGCGUGGAUAUCGUGAGGAACACUAGUGGCGAAGGCGAGAUGCUGGACAUUAACUGACGCUGAGGCUCGAAGGCCAGGGUAGCGAAAGGGAUUAGAUA
rnacentral:rRNA from 1 species